rnacentral:rRNA from 1 species
GCUAACGUCCGUCGUGAAGAGGGAAACAACCCAGACCGCCAGCUAAGGUCCCAAAGUCAUGGUUAAGUGGGAAACGAUGUGGGAAGGCCCAGACAGCCAGGAUGUUGGCUUAGAAGCAGCCAUCAUUUAAAGAAAGCGUAAUAGCUCACUGGUCGAGUCGGCCUGCGCGGAAGAUGUAACGGGGCUAAACCAUGCACCGAAGCUGCGGCAGCGACGCUGAUGCGUUGUUGGGUAGGGGAGCGUUCUGUAAGCC